GUUCGAUCCUCUAUUGCCUAUCAGCUGAAAGCCUGAAAAGCCAGUACGCGCAUUGAAGCAGAAAUCAUGGAGAGCAGACGAUGCCUCAACGCUCUCACUCAUCAGCUUCGAUCUCUAGCCUCCUUAAACUCAUCGUUUCAAAGCCUUAGAGCUCUUCAUCACCUUCUCACCCUUGUUGCAUCUGAUCCUCUCUUGCUUGAAAAUCCCACCUCAAUCACCUAUCGUAUCGGUCAUACAUUCGAAUUUGCCUCCUGCAUUAAGUACCAAACCGUUCGCCCUUACUCAUCUGGAAGGAGAAAUUCUAGUAAACCCCAGAACGACGACGAUGACAACGAGGCCGACGAAGAUGAUGAUAUAGACGAAGACGAAGACGAAAACGAAGAAGAAAUGGGAGCGACGGAGAAGGAGACCAUAUUCCGAUGUCAAAUUGUGUAUCCAACAGAUCUUAUUCAUUAGAGGAGACUGAGAAGAAAAGCAUAUGAGGGUAUAAAGUGGUCGGGCCUCUUGAUCCUUCGGAGAGGCCUUUUAAACCAUGGGAGCCAGUUUUUGCCGUUGUUCAGAUUGAUUCUCAUCAGUUCAAAGUGAGCAAUGGGGAUUGCAUUUAUACCGAGAGGCUGAAAUUCUGCGAGGUCAAUGAGAAGACUACACAGAGAGAGAAAGUGAAUUUUUUUCUCAAUCGAUGUCUGUCUUCAUGGUAUCAGAGCCUGCGUUACUAUUCGCUGCGCGACCGACGGUUAUCGCUGCUGAUCACUUUCGGACAAGACGGUUCUCGUCGUCAUCAGGAUUUCUUGAUCUCCAAUUCCUAUUCUUGCUACAGUAGAAUAUUUCUUCACAGAACUUACAAAGUUCUUGAUGGAGCUGAAGAUUGCUAUGUUUCUUGACAAAAUUUACAGAGUCUCUUGGUGGCUGUAGAUCUUGAUCCGACAACAGCUUAUUACCUCCAUCCCUAGGAUAAUCCCUGUGAUCGGCUUGUUCUCGCGCCGUGACGUUCCUCUGUUUCUUCCUGUUUCUUCAAGAAUUCGAUACCGGUUUUCAAGAAUGGAGAUCGGAGUUAACUCUCCAUACUUCCUUCACCCGUCCGACAGUCCAGGUGCCAUACUGGUCUCAUCUCCACUCAACGGAGAUAACUUCUCGUUGUGGCAGCGAGGGAUGAUCAAUGCACUCAGAGCGAAGAACAAAAUCGGCUUCGUCGACGGAUCUCUGCCACGACCCUACUGCAAGUGAUCCCGAUCUCAAUGCUUGGAUAAAAUGCAACGCGAUGGUUGUGGUGAGAUUUUUAACUCCCUAACUGGAGAGGUUUACGAAAGCAUUGCUUUCAUUGAUUCAGCAGCAGAUAUAUGGAAGGAACUCCAAGAAAGUUGAUUUUGAACAGGGUUCUCAUGCUUGGAUCAAAAACUCAGACUAUCAUAGGAAGGCCCACAUUGCCAGAUGCGGCUGUUCAUGCAGUUGUUGGUAGCCUUUCCUUAAUCCAAAAUCCAGCCUUCUUUCCACAGAAAGGGAGCCUCUUUUCAGAAUCUGAGAAUGUAAUUUUUUCCCUUCUUCUACCAGGGGUAAGAUCAGGGUUUUUAUCAGAACAGAACACACCUACUUUACAAAUGAAAAGAAACAGAAAAGAGUGAGAUGCUAUCUAUGCAGGGUUUCUUGAAUGUUUUGUAUUGUUACUGGUGAUUUAAGCUCAGUAUGCAAGCUGGAUAUGGUUCCUACAGCUACAAGGAUCAAAUAUUAGGACUGGUAUGGUUCAAUAAAUAUAAAUCUGGAUAUAAUUUUUUUAAGUUAUUUAUUUUUUUAAAUUUAAUUAAGAUGUAAUGCAAAAGUUAAAUGUUAAUAUUUGUAAAAAAUAAAUAUACUGCAUGUAAAGUUAAUUUGAUUUGUAA